AACGAACGCUGGCGGCAUGCCUAACACAUGCAAGUCGAACGAGACCUCCGGGUCUUGUGGCGCUCCGCUACUUGACGCGGGGGAACCAGCCCGUAGGUUAGCAAUCCCUCCCCGAGGGGGGUGCUAAUACCGGUUAAUGUCUUCGCACCUAAGAUUUCUCGCGUUUGGGUGGGCGGUGGUUGGAUUCGCUCGUUGGUAGGGUACAAGCCUACCAUGGCGACGAUCCAUAGCUGGUCGGAGAGGAGGCUCAGCAACGCUGGGACUGAGACACGGCCCAGACUCCGACGGAGGGGAGCAGUGGGGAACAUUGGACAAGGGGCGAUAGCCUGAUCCAGCAACGCCGCGUGAGUGAUGCAGGCCGUAGGGUUGUAAAGCUCUUUUACCCGGGAUGAUAAUGACAGUACCGGGUGAAUAAGCACCGGCUAACUCCGUG
rnacentral:rRNA from 1 species